rnacentral:lncRNA from 1 species
CAUCGUUAGGGGCUUGGCUAAAACAUUAUCAGAGUUUGCAACGGAAGGCGUAACUGAAAUAAUCAGUGUUUACAGCGGAAUGCAUAACUGAGAUACAUGUAUGAAGACAUGUAUCCUUUCUGAGCCUACUUUAAGUUCGACAAAAACUCCACUCAGCAACAACACUUCAUCGCCCAUCACAACUCAACCUGCACAAACAUAAACAUCGAAGGGCUGAGUACAAGAGUACUCAGUGGGCAAUGCCAAG